rnacentral:miRNA from 1 species
AAAAAAGCUUCAGUUAUUCAGGUGCUGCGCUUUGGACAUUCCAAAGCGCAGCACCUGAAUAACUGAAGCUUUUUU